UUUAAAAUACAAUUCGAUUAGAAAUGCUUUGCUUUUCAAAAUAAUAAAUUAAAUUUGUUUCCUCCUCUCUCUGAAAUCCCAUUGCCAAUGCCAUUAACACAAGCCUGAAUGGAAAGAGUGCGAGAGUAUCUUGACGGGGUGCUAAAGGUUGCGAAAUUGCGCGACUGCCAGCCAGUUCGGGGAAUUCCUGUGGAAACGAUCUGGAAAAAGUGCGCUGCUGAAUCAAUUUCCUCCCGAAGACGGAAAGAAAAAAAAAGAAGGGAGAUUUUUACUGCUGGGUGCUUUCUUAAAAUAACAAAAUUACUUUUUAUAUGCAGGCGACUUUAGGACUCAGGACACAGCCGCACAAAUAACAACAACAGCAUGCCAUUGACAACCAUUAAUCAUGAAAGCCUGUCAGGGCGGGUCGCAGGCAGGCAGGCGGGCCGGGUGUGGCAAAAGAGGAUGGGGCUCGUCUGUGCUUCUGCCUGAUGAUUGUCCUGUGUUGCAUCAUGCUCGUGCCCAUGCACAACCACGCCCAACUGCGAAAUUGACAAGCAAACCGAGUGCGUUUUGACAUGACACUUGCAAGGGACCACUAGCAAUAGCAAUAGCUGUAGCAGUAGUUGUGGCUAUGGCUGGGUCUGUGGCUGAAGCACGGCCAGGACGAGACGCUGAACGUAGGCGUGAGCAGGCAGCAUAGGACAAGCACACAGUGACAUGAGGCAAGAGGCAGGAGGCAGAAGGCAAGCGACAGGCGACAACGAUAGCACUGCAAUGAAGGACCAUGUCAUGUCACAGGCUAGAGCAAUACAACGUGCCUGAUGGCCGGUCAAAGUUCAAUGCGAAAGCCAAAUUCCGAUUGUCAAGAUGUUACUGCAAGCUACAUACACAUAUGUAUGGAUAUAUUUACAUGCGAGCAUGUGUGCGAGUCGGACAUGUCUAAUUGCUCAGUUUAUGGGGGCUACAUGUCAUAAAGUGCAAAUGCAUGCCAAGCACCAACAAGCCUAAAAGCUGGCUAUAAAAUUUUCUAUUGCUGCUUCUAGGUUUGGUCCGUGAUUUGUAUGUGAAAUUUGACAUGCAUUUUCAAUUUAACAGCAGCUUUAAAGAGUCACUUCUCCAUCCAAUAAUGAAUUCCAUUCAUUUUGUUUGUCUGCCAUCCUCAUGGAGCAUCUGACCUCUACCCGCCGCGUCGCCUCGACGACUUGUGCCGUGCCGGCCACGAUAAAACUUUAUGCACUGCAAAGGCCAGCAUUGACAUUUCAAGUGCUGCCGCUCUUAUAGAAAGGAAAAAAGAGGCUACGAUGGAGGUUCACCAGUCCUGGCGCCAUUGGAGAAAAUAGUUUUAAUAAUGCACAAGACGACUCCAACGGAAAGUAACAUAAAAUGAAGGACAUACGAGACCAGCAGCAGCUCACACAGAUAAGACCCUCGACUGUCCAAGUUCCGCCCAAGUACAUCAGCAGCAACAACACCAAUAACACCAGAAUAAAAAAGAGCAUAGAAGAAGCUGGAAAACGUAAAAGGUGGCAAGAAACAGAAAACAUGGAUGGGCAAUGCAAGUUUGUCUAUUCGAUGUCAAAAUGAAUACUUUUGCAUUAUUUAUGCUAGUGCUUUUAUUUGUUUUUCCGAUAACGAAGUGCAAAAAGCAAAACAAUUCAAUGAACUCCUCGCAACGUCCACAGAGAGCCACAUUUUCGAAACUUUAAACAGCAAAGGCUUUAACCAACUACUCUUAUAC